CUACUGAUAGGCACUGAUGCUUCCAACGCUUUAGAGUCAUGGAAGGUGAUACAGUGUGGAAGGUGGACCUUAUGCUGUAAAAACCAAAGUUGGCAAAGUUGUUGUGGAUCUGUUACCCCUCAGAGCUGCCCAAGCAUAUGCUGCUCCUAGAUGUAAAGACCAUAUGGAACUCUCUGUAUUUGAUGAAGGAGAGAUUCUGCGAGCAGUUUCCUGCCAUCCAGGCUGCAGCCAUCGAUCCACGGAUAAGAAAGUCCAUGAAAAAGGAAAGACUGGCUAAAAUGGGCAAUGAUGACUUAAGAAAAGCAGAGGAGUUUGUGGUGCUCAUGCGGAAGCACUACACCUCCACACCAGCAGCGACAAAAGUCCGACCUGUGGUGAGAUUCUGCUCAUCCUGCAAAAGCUACUGCAACACUACACCGUGCAAGAAGAUGACUCUGUCUUCACAAGGAGCAUAAAGGAGAACAUUUGGAAAGAUCUUUCCAAAUGAUACCAGGAUGCUGAUAUCCAGAGAUUCCUGGAGGAGGCCACCAUCUUGGACCCCCGAUUUAAAUCCAAAGUGAAUAAGGAUGAAGUCUGGGACAGGAUCAGGGAAGCAGCAAAGACAGAGGCAGGACCAGAUGAGGUAUUUCAAUAUGACAGUGUCUUACUUUGUAGCCUAUUUCCAUUGUGAGAGUGAGACCUUUAGUUUGAUUCGUUUGUGUAUUUGUCACUUUCUACUCAAGCACCAGGAGCAAGGAGACACACAGGGAAAGUUGUUCAAAGAUG